GAUGAACGCUGACAGAAUGCUUAACACAUGCAAGUCAUUGGCGAAGCUGCGCUUGCGCAGCCUAGCCAAGGCGGACGGGUGAGUAACGCGUAAGGAACUUGCCCUGCAGACAGGGAUAACAGACGGAAACGACUGAUAACACCUGGUGUUGUCAGGCUGGCGCAUGCCGGACUGAUGAAAGGAGACGCUGCAGGAGAGCCUUGCGUCCUAUUAGCUAGUUGGUGGGGUAACGGCCCACCAAGGCGAUGAUAGGUAGCCGGCCUGAGAGGGUGAACGGCCACAAGGGGACUGAGAUACGGCCCUUACUCCUACGGGAGGCAGCAGUGGGGAAUAUUGGACAAUGGGGGCAACCCUGAUCCAGCAAUUCUGUGUGCACGAAGAAGGUUUUCGGAUUGUAAAGUGCUUUCAGCGGGGAA
rnacentral:rRNA from 1 species